UACGUAGGGACCAAGCGUUGUUCGGAUUUACUGGGCGUAAAGGGCGCGUAGGCGGCAAUUCAAGUCAUCUGUGAAAUCUCCGGGCUUAACUCGGAACGGUCAGAUGAUACUGCUUUGCUAGAGUGCGGAAGGGGCAAUCGGAAUUCUUGGUGUAGCGGUGAAAUGCGUAGAUAUCAAGAGGAACACCUGAGGUGAAGACGGGUUGCUGGGCCGACACUGACGCUGAGGCGCGAAAGCCAGGGGAGCAAACGGG
rnacentral:rRNA from 1 species